CAGCAGCCGCGGUAAUACGUAUGUCACGAGCGUUAUCCGGAUUUAUUGGGCGUAAAGCGCGUCUAGGUGGUUAUGUAAGUCUGAUGUGAAAGUGCAGGGCUCAACUCUGUAUUGCGUUGGAAACUGUAUAACUAGAGUACUGGAGAGGUAAGCGGAACUACAAGUGUAGAGGUGAAAUUCGUAGAUAUUUGUAGGAAUGCCGAUGGGGAAGCCAGCUUACUGGACAGAUACUGACGCUGAAGCGCGAAAGCGUGGGUAGCAAACAGGAUUAGAUACCCCAGUAGUCCCUGUCUCUUAUACC
rnacentral:rRNA from 1 species